rnacentral:piRNA from 1 species
UGGUGUCAGAAGGAAUGUUCUGGAUACA